rnacentral:lncRNA from 1 species
AUGCGCAGAGGGCCGAUCCAGUUCUUUUCGGCUGGAAUGGGGAAUUUGUGAGGUAGGCCGGAAGUGGUGUUGCGGAGGGAAGUGUGGGGAGAGCAGAGGCGCAGCUCUGCUGGAGAGACCUGAGGCUUGCAGCGCUGGGCCCGGCCGGGUCGCUGCGGCUGGGCUGGAGGUCAAGGAUGCAUUCCAGGAAAGUUCUAUAAAAAUAUACCAUCAACUCCAACCUGAUAUUUGACCUAGCCAUGGAAAACCUCAUUGGCUCCUCACUGGAUCAGACCAUAAAAAUGAUCCAGGAAUGAAAAUCUAAGAUAAAUUCCCACCACUUCAAGAUGUUCUUAUACAAGUCAACAGUCUAGCAGAUCAGCCAGUCUCUUUCAUCAUCAAGCAGACAUACUCAAGAAAGAGGAAUAGUGAAGUGAAAUAUACAGAAGCAUGUUCAAGUUCAUCUGUUGAAUCUGGAAUUGUGAAUAGUGACAAUAUUGAGAAAAAUACUGACUCCAAUCUGCAAACUUCAACUUCAUUUGAGCCACAUUUCAAAAAGAAAAAAAAGAAAAAUUUGAAACAUUAAGGGAAAACAGUUGGGUAAAAGAUCCAUUUGCUUUUCGACACC